GAUGAACGCUGGCGGCGUGCCUAAUACAUGCAAGUCGAGCGAACAGACGAGGAGCUUGCUCCUCUGACGUUAGCGGCGGACGGGUGAGUAACACGUGGAUAACCUACCUAUAAGACUGGGAUAACUUCGGGAAACCGGAGCUAAUACCGGAUAAUAUAUUGAACCGCAUGGUUCAAUAGUGAAAGACGGUUUUGCUGUCACUUAUAGAUGGAUCCGCGCCGCAUUAGCUAGUUGGUAAGGUAACGGCUUACCAAGGCAACGAUGGGUAGCCGACCUGAGAGGGUGACCGGCCACACUGGAACUGAGACACGGUCCAGACUCCUACGGGAGGCAGCAGUAGGGAAUCUUCGGCAAUGGGCGAAAGCCUGACGGAGCAACGCCGCGUGAGUGAUGAAGGUCUUCGGAUCGUAAAACUCUGUUGUUAGGGAAGAACAAAUGUGUAAGUAACUAUGCACGGCUUGACGGUACCUAAUCAGAAAGCCACGGCUAACUACGUG
rnacentral:rRNA from 1 species